CGCGCGUCGGGCCUGGGGCGCGCGCCGGGCGGGCGCGGGCGCGGGCGCGGGCGCGGGAGGGUGGGGGCCGCGGCGGGCGGCCUGCCUCCUCGCGCGACCCCCGGUCCCUCCGCCCGUCCCCUGGGCGACAGCCCGCCAGGAAACUUGUGGUCUAUGAAAGGUGCAGGACUGUGACAGCUGAGGAAGCGCCUGCGGGAGUCUUCUGGGAAGGGUAAUAGGACACCAGGACUGCCGAUUAAAGCAAGUGUGCUUCUGAUGGAAUGCAGAUUGACUGUCUUCCUUCUCUCAGCAAUGAUGACACCACCUUUCUGGUUUAAUGGAAAUGGUUUACAUCUUUGACAAGACUGUAAUUUAGUGGUAAGGAGUUGUGAAGCCCACCCUCUUGCACUCCCCUCCUAGGACAGGACUGCCCUGACCUGCUGUGCUGCCCGCUGUGCUACUGCUGUGCUGCCCGCUGUGCUACUGCGAGAGGUUAACACUGCCCGUGCCCCACCCGCAUGAGCCUGCUUUAUUGGGAGGGGUUAGAGCGGUACCUGCCUACUGGUAGACCAAAUGAGUUAAUACCAGUUAAGUGUUAGAGCAAUUCCUGGUACUUGCUAAGCUCUUGUAAGUGGUAGCUGUUAUUAUUAUUUUAAAAACAGGUCUGUUAUCCAUUCGUUAUUUUUCCCAGAGUAUAAUUGUGUCAUACAUUUCAAAUAAUUUAAAGAUCACCUAACCUAAUACUUAGUUCUAAGUAUGCCAUGCUUGGUUUAAAUUAUACUUUUACGUUUCAUGCUUCUAUUGAAAGUAAUUAAAAUUUUCGGUAGCUUUGUUUUUCUAUUCCAGGAACUUUUCAUUUUUUGGUAAGUUAAAAAAACAAACAACCCCAAAAUCAAAAUUGCUUAAGAAGUGCUCGUUAGUUCAGCAACUUGGCCAGUGUCUGUAAAUCCUUGUCUUUGCCUAAGUCGUGAAUUAGAAUCCCCACAUUGGAUGCUUUUCCUGUGGAAUAUAUCUACCUGUCAUGAGAAAUUCACAAUUAAAUAAAAAUGUGAAAUUAAAGCAUGGGACUUGUUGAAAAGGUGAGUGCUGUUUGUCCGAUUAUAUUUUAUUCUUAAAAUAGCGUAGUUUUUUCUUUAUUAUUCGUUACUGAGAGCUAUUAUGUACUUGGAUACAAAACGUUUCAGUGAGCGUUACGUGUUCCUUUGAAACUUGGCAAACCCUUCAAUUAUUUUAUAACUUUCAAUCAGGUGAAACCUUGCAGUGCAUUAUGGAAGCAGUAUCUAAUGUAAAGGUAGUUUUAUAAAAUGUGAUUUUCAAAUCAGGUGUAUUUGGGAGUUCCCCAUAGCUUCAUCUUUGAACCUCAGUGAGUAAAAUACAGAAUUUUUCUUUUAUAUUCUCAGAUAUUAAAAAAUAUUUAGCAUGUCAUGUGGUUUAGGCUGUGCUUUUUGAUUCAUUGGGUUUUUUUCCUUUGUUAAUGGUCAUGUGUCCCAUGUUGACCCAUGUUAAUGGGUCAUGUGAGCAUUCACCUGCCUUCCUGACCCUCCAACAGAGUCUCUGCUCCCGGGGCUGCCAGCUGCACCCCAUGUUGUCCUUUGGGAAAAGCUCCAUGUGAAAGAUGCACUGUACUUAAGAUUUGAGUGUGUAUCUUGUUUUACGUAAUACAGCGAAACAUUCUAAGUGACACUGAGCUGUCCACCACCCUUACGGGAAAAUACAUGCUUUGAUGUCUUUAAAAACUACAUUUAUUAGAAAUAUAAUGUAAAUUUUAUUCCGAUGAACAUGUGCUUUUAAGUGUGAAAUGUUACAACAUCCGGAUAAAUGUGAAAAGGUACCCAUUUCCCCCCCUUUUUGACAGUUGCCAUUUAUUUAAUUGAUGGAUAGAGAAUAUAAUAUAGAGGUGGGUGUCUUUGAUAAACUUGAAUAUGACCUGAAAUUAAACUUGAACCAUUUUCUGUCAAGUUUGAAGAUUUGAUACAUUUCCUCAUAAUUAUAUGCUAAGCAUUUGGCAUCAGGUAUUUAACUUUGAUUUCAUUAUGUCUUUUCUUAUCUCACUGAUUCUCAGUAGUAGAAAUGUAGGUUUCUGAGCCAAUGACUCCUAUCGACUUCAGUAAUCAAGAAAUGACUUCUAUCAACUUCAAUAAUCAAGAAAUGACAGUUAAAAUGCAGAAUCUGUGAUAUAUGAGAGCUUUCCUUUUACUUCUGUUUAAAAAGUGAUUUCACUUUUUGAUAAAGGGCCAACUGUUAUUCAGUACGAAAUCUUACGCAAAAUGAUAGUAACCAACUAUAUAAUUUCUUUAUUGUUAAAGCAUACUGAGAUUUUUUUUUAAACUAGAAAUAUGCUAGUAUCAAAAUCUGAAUGAACAUGAAAGGUAGGUUUUGUUAAUAACUUUGAAUUCUUCAGAAAACUAAUACAUUAUAAAACCAGCAGUUUCACAUUUAGGAUUUUUAUAAGUAUAUAAAUUAGGAUUACUUUUUAAUAUUAGCUUUAACUUCCUUUAAUUUUAUGGAAAAGAACCAGUCCCGAAGGUGUUUUUAUAAUUUAAUACAUAUUAUUUCUAUGAGACUAAGUAAAACUGUUCCAUGAAUCAAAAUCUUAGCCGUAGAACCCGUCCAACCACUGACCUGUCCCGGGACUAACCAGAUGUAAGUAUAACUGGCUUAAGAGUUCUGACCUUUUCCUUGCUUAUUUCAAAGGGAUUCUUCACAGACUAUAAAGCUGUGUUCAGUAUUUGUCCAUGUGAAAAUAUUGAAAGACAGGGCUUGAGCUGUUGGUUUUGUUUUAUAAAAGUAAUUUGCGGAAGUUCCUUUGCUACUUGUUCUCCAUGCAAAUUUUAUAAAAGUCCAAAUUCCCCAGCCAAGGGGAGAAAAGAUUUUCAUAAGGUUUCUUUGAAAAAGUAUGAAAGGUCCCUAAAGGUGUACGUCAACCUUUAUUUUGACCUCACACGUUUUUCUUGUUCUGUAGCUUAUCUGUGAAAAUUUUUGUUUUCAGUGUCCAAUUUAUAUUUAACAGCCAGUUGCUUAAAAUUCUCUAUUGGCAUGUAGUCAGUUUCACAGGAAAGUUCCAUUUUAGCCAGGAUACUGCUAAUACUUCAUUACUUCUAAGUAAGCCUGUCAGGAUGAAUGAGAAAUAGAGUUUGGGGACUGGGUAUUGGCAAAUCUUUUGUUUCUAGAUAACUUCCUAAAUGUUUGGCCAUUUUGUAUAUUUAGAGUAAAAUGUGCAGGCGUCCCUUCUCUGUCUUCACACUCAGGUGGCACACCUUCCUCUGUUAUACUCUAGAUUGUGAGCUGUGCACGGCCUUCCAAAUUCUUUUCCUGGUUUUACACACAUAUACCCUCUGGGCGUGAGUGGGACUUCCGACAUCAUGGAAUCACUGUAUGUAGCAUGUACCUUUUUUUCCCUGCAUUUAAGAGAACUUUUUGUAUCUCUGCAUCACUAGUUUUUUAGUUCCAAAAUGUACCAUAACAUAUUUACUUCCCCGUUGGUGGGCCUGUAGGUUGGUUGCUCCAGGAUUUCACUGUUUUAACAGUCCUAGGAAAUACCAACAUGUUGAUGCACAGUGUAACUAUUUCUACAGGGCAACUGGUAAAGGUGCAAUCACUGUGGCAAGGAAGAUGUCUGUCUAAAAUACUUAACGGAUCUUGCUGAGUGAAUCUCAGAGAAUCUGUGUCAAGUUUAUACUUUAACUAUAAGAGAGUACCUGUUUCCUCACAUCAUUGCCAGGGCAUCAGCAGUCUUGUUCACUUUUGCGGAGUGGAUAGUUACAAAGUUGUACCUCCUGGCUGAUUCACCUGUCUAAAGGUGAAGUUAACAUGUUUUCAUGCCUGUAUUGGCUUCUUUCUUCCUCCCUUUUUCCUCCCUCCAUCCCCCCCUUCUUUCUCUCUGUCUUUUGUUUUUUUUUAAUU